AAAUGAAUUGACGGGGACCCGCACAAGCAGCGGAGCAUGUGGUUUAAUUCGAAGCAACGCGAAGAACCUUACCAAGACUUGACAUAUAUAUGACCACUAUAGAGAUAUAGUCUUUUCUUCGGAGACAUAUAUACAGGUGGUGCAUGGUUGUCGUCAGCUCGUGUCGUGAGAUGUUGGGUUAAGUCCCGCAACGAGCGCAACCCCUAUGAUUAGUUGCCAAUAUUAAGUUAGGAACUUUAGUCAGACUGCCGUGGAUAACACGGAGGAAGGUGGGGAUGACGUCAAAUCAUCAUGCCCCUUACGUCUUGGGCUACACACGUGCUACAAUGGCUAUUACAAAGAGCAGCGAAACAGCAAUGUCAAGCGAAUCUCAUAAAGGUAGUCUCAGUUCGGAUUGUGGGCUGCAACCCGCCCACAUGAAGCAGGAGUUGCUAGUAAUCCCGAAUCAGCAUGUCGGGGUGAAUGCGUUCCCGGGUCUUGCACACACCGCCCGU
rnacentral:rRNA from 1 species